rnacentral:rRNA from 1 species
CCUACGGGUGGCAGCAGUGAGGAAUAUUGGUCAAUGGGCGAGAGCCUGAACCAGCCAAGUCGCGUGAGGGAGUACUGCCCUAUGGGUUGUAAACCUCUUUUGUCGGGGAGCAAAAGCCGGACGUGUCCGGCUGUGAGAGUACCCGCAGAACAAGCAUCGGCUAACUCCGUGCCAGCAGCCGCGGUAAUACGGGGGGUGCGAGCGUUAUCCGGAUUUAUUGGGGUUAAAGGGUGCGAAGUCGGAUUGUUAAGUCAGCGUGCAAAUCGGGGGGCUAAACCCGAUCCAGCCGUUGAAACUGGGGAUCUGGAGUGUAGGAGAGGUAUGCGGAAUUCGUGGUGUAGCGGUGAAAUGCUUAGAUAUCACGAAGAACCCCGAUUGCGAAGGCAGCUUACUAAACUGUGACUGACAUUGAUGCUCGAAAGUGUGGGUAUCAAACAGGAUUAGAUACCCGAGUAGUC